AUGAUCAAACAUCAAUCAAAUUCAAUCAAAAUUGCAAAGGAAUUAUGUAAGAACACAAAGUAUUCCUAAAGACUCUUUAAAAAAAUCAUAAUGAAAUAACAUAGAAAUUCAAAAAUAUACUAAAAUAAUAAUCUUAAUAAAAUAUUAAAAUAGAAACUUUAAUUAAAUCUUAAUCAAAUUCUAAUCAAAUCCUAAAUAAAUUCUACAUAAAUUCUAAUAUAUCCUAAUCAAAUCCUAAAAAAAUCCUAAAAAAAUCCUAAAAAAAUACUAAAUAAAUUCUAAUCAAAUCCUAAACAAAUUCUAAAAAAAUCUUAAUGAAAUCCUAAAAAAAUCUUAACCAAAUCUUAGUCAAGCCCUAAAAAAAUCCUAAAUAAAUCCUAAUCAAAUCCUAAAUAAAUCUUAGUCAAAUCUUAACCAAAUUCUAAAUAAAUCCAAUAGCAGAUUUAAACCUCAAUAAUUAAAGAAUGAACCAUUGAUUUUAACUGAAAUUUUGCACACCUCUUUAUAAUUAAUUUCAAAACAAGCAAAUUUCUUUUGAAAAAGAUCAAAUUCACCGAAAAAAAAUCAACCCUAAUAUUUGUACGGAUGUUAGCCGACCUCCUUCUCCAAUCUUAAUAUUGAAUUUCUAGUGCCAAUAUGUCGUUAUUGAAUUAUUCAAUUGAUCUCAAACUUCUUAUAUAUGUAGGAAAACAAGUCUACUAUUCAUAUACAUAAUUUUCACUCCAAUCUAAUUUAUAGAUUAUAAGAAAUUUUAAAAACCCUCACUGGAUCUAAAACUCUACUUUUUGAGACUCCGACCUACUUAAACCUCAAUAACACUCGAUUCAAUCCUUUGAUCUAGCUCAAACUCA
rnacentral:lncRNA from 1 species